rnacentral:rRNA from 1 species
GGGGUAAGGGUAGCUUGCUACCUGACCUAGACGCCGGACGGGUGAGUAAUGCUUAGGAAUCUGCCUAUUAGUGGGGGACAACAUUCCGAAAGGAAUGCUAAUACCGCAUACGCCCUACGGGGGAAAGCAGGGGAUCUUCGGACCUUGCGCUAAUAGAUGAGCCUAAGUCAGAUUAGCUAGUUGGUGGGGUAAAGGCCUACCAAGGCGACGAUCUGUAGCGGGUCUGAGAGGAUGAUCCGCCACACAUGGGACUGAGACACGGCCCAUACUCCUACGGGAGGCAGCAGUGGGGAAUAUUGGACAAUGGGCGAAAGCCUGAUCCAUCCAUGCCGCGUGUGUGAAGAAGGCC